rnacentral:misc_RNA from 1 species
GAUGAAGAACGCAGCGAAAUGCGAUAAGUAAUGUGAAUUGCAGAAUUCAGUGAAUCAUCGAAUCUUUGAACGCACAUUGCGCCCGCCAGUAUUCUGGCGGGCAUGCCUGUCUGAGCGUCAUUUCAACCCUCAUGCCCCUAGGGCGUGGUGUUGGGGAUCGGCCAAAGCCCGCGAGGGACGGCCGGCCCCUAAAUCUAGUGGCGGACCCGUCGUGGCCUCCUCUGCGAAGUAGUGAUAUUCCGCAGCGGAGAGCGAUGAGCCCCUGCCGUUAAACCCCCAACUUUCCAAGGUUGACCUCAGAUCAGGUAGGAAUACCCGCUGAACUUAAGCAUAUCAAUAAGCGGAGGA